rnacentral:tRNA from 1 species
GGAAUUGUAGCUCAGUGGUAAAGUGCUUACCUAUCAUGUGUGAGGCACUGGGUUUGAUUCUCAGCACCA